AGACCUCAAAUCAGUCAGGACUACCCGCUGAACUUAAGCAUAUCAAUAAGCGGAGGAAAAGAAACUAACAAGGAUUCCCCUAGUAACGGCGAGUGAAGUGGGAAAAGCUCAACUUUGAAAUCUGGUACUUUCAGUAUCCGAAUUGUAGUCUCAAGAAGUGUUUUCUGUGCCGGUCCAUGUAUGAGUCUGUUGGAACACAGCGUCAUAGAGGGUGACAACCCCGUUCAUGACAUGGAUCCCGGUGCUUUGUGAUACACUCUCGAAGAGUCGAGUUGUUUGGGAAUGCAGCUCAAAUUGGGUGGUAAAUUCCAUCUAAAGCUAAAUAUUGGCGAGAGACCGAUAGCAAACAAGUACCGUGAGGGAAAGAUGAAAAGCACUUUGGAAAGAGAGUUAACAGUACGUGAAAUUGUUGAAAGGGAAACGAUUGAAGUCAGACGUGCGUGAUGCGGUUCAGCUUUAGUUCGCUAGAGUGUACUCCGUAUCUUUGCAGGCCAGCAUCGGUUUUUUUAGUCGGAUAAAGGUUUGAGAAAUGUGGCAUCUUCGGAUGUGUUAUAGUCUCAGACUGAAUACGAUUGAUGGGACCGAGGAACGCAGCGCGCCGCAAGGCAAAGGUUCCGACCUUCGCGCUAGGA
rnacentral:rRNA from 1 species